rnacentral:sRNA from 1 species
UAACUGAGCACGUAUCGGAUCAAGGGCGCCCGGGGCACGGUCUUCUCCCCCCUUCGGGGAAAUUUUCUUAAGGUUGACCUCGGAUCAGGUAGGAAUACGCGCUGAACUUAAGCAUAUCAAUAAGCGCAGGAAAAGAAACCAACAGGGAUUGCCUCAGUAACGGCGAGUGAAGCGGCAACAGCUCAAAUUUGAAAUCUGGCCUCUCGGGGUCCGAGUUGUAAUUUGUAGAGGAUGUUUCGGGUACCGCCUCGGUUUAAAUUUCUUGGAACAGAAUGUCAAAGAGGGUGAGAAUCCCGUCUUGGACCGGCGGUAGGGCCUAUGUGAAACUCCUUCGACGAGUCGAGUUGUUUGGGAAUGCAGCUCAAAAUGGGUGGUAAAUUUCAUCUAAAGCUAAAUAUUGGCCAGAGACCGAUAGCGCACAAGUAGAGUGAUCGAAAGAUGAAAAGCACUUUGAAAAGAGAGUUAAACAGUAUGUGAAAUUGUUGAAAGGGAAGCGCUUGCAACCAGACUUGAGCGCGGCGGUUCCCCCUUGCUUCUGCUUGGGUUACUCCGCCGUGUCCAGGCCAACAUCGGUUCUGGGGGUCGGUCAAAGGCCUUGGGAAUGUAUCUACCCACGGGUAGACUUAUAGACCAGGGUGUCAUGCGACCUCCCGGGACCGAGGAACGCGCUUCGGCUCGGAUGUUGGCGUAAUGGUUGUCAGCGACCCGUCUUGAAACACGGACCAAGGAGUCUAACAUCUAUGCGAGUGUUUGGGUGUCAAACCCGGAACGCGGAAUGAAAGUGAACGGAGGUAGGAAGCUUCGGCUGCACUAUCGACCGAUCCUGAAGUUUACGGAUGGAUUUGAGUAAGAGCAUAGCUGUUGGGACCCGAAAGAUGGUGAACUAUGCCUGAAUAGGGUGAAGCCAGAGGAAACUCUGGUGGAGGCUCGCAGCGGUUCUGACGUGCAAAUCGAUCGUCAAAUUUAGGUAUAGGGGCGAAAGACUAAUCG